rnacentral:rRNA from 1 species
AUUGAACGCUGGCGGCAGGCCUAACACAUGCAAGUCGAGCGAGCGGCGAGCAGGUGCGUAAUGUCUGGGAAACUGCCUGAUGGAGAGGGAUAACUACUGGAAACGGUAGCUAAUACCGCAUACAAUCCGAUGUGCGCAGAUGGGGUUAGCUAGUAGGUGGGGUAAUGGCUCACCUAGGCGACGAUCCCUAGCUGGCCUGAGCGGAUGAUCAGCCACAGUGGAACUGAGACACGGUCCAGACUCCUACGGGAGGCAGCAGUGGGGAAUAUUGCACAAUGGGCGCAAGCCUGAUGCAGCCAUGCCGCGUGUGUGAAGAAGGUCUUCGGGUUGUAAAGCACUUUCAGCGGGGAGGCGUUACCCGCAGAAGAAGCACCGGCUAACUCCGUGCCAGCAGCCGCGGUAAUAC